CAUACAAUGAUAAAAGAGUACUUACACUUUCCAUAUAUAUUAUAAUUCUCUUUGACUUACACCUACACCUACAUUUACAUGUACUGUACGGGCUGUCAAACGAUAAUUAACCAAAAUAGACGUUAUUGCUUAAAUUUUAAGGUCGCUUUCAAAGUGCUGCCGGGAGCCGCUUAGUAGUUGACACAAUAAAUAGAUUAAAAUUUACCCAAAAAAUACCUACUUUUCCAGUUGGUGUUUAAUAAUAAUGAUAGCUGGUUAGAGUUCACGUUAUUACAAAAAAAAACAUGGGAUUAGUUCGUCAAUACACGACCAUGAAACUGUUCCAACGUUUACAUCGCGUCAGCAAAUCUGCCCUGUCGAAUCAUCGGCGAGCUUUCAGCAGCAAAAUUGAGGCUGCCGAAAAUGAACCAAUUAAAUUCUCAACAAGCGGAGCUGCAAAAAAAGCUGUGAAAUCACUUGUUAAUAAAACAAACAUUAACAUGCCCUGGUAUCAGCCAUAUUCAGUUGUCGCCAGUGUUGCAGUCUUCCUCAUAUAUUUUUGCAUAUUAAGAGAAGAAAAUGAUGUUGAUAUGGAAUUUAAUAAGACUCUCUACGAGAGGAUUAAAGGCUUAGAAAAAGAACAAUUGCUUCAGUCAUACAAGUAUAACAAGGAAAAUGGCUUAAGUGUUGUAGAUAUAGAGAGGCGGUUAAAAGAAUUAGAAAUAGAAUAGAAUAAAGAAGUAAUAUAAUUUGUUAAAAUUAUUCAACAGUUAUUUAUUUGUUGUAAGCAGUGUAGUUUGUAAAUAAAUCUUCUCUUGGA